rnacentral:rRNA from 1 species
UACGUAGGGGGCUAGCGUUGUCCGGAAUCAUUGGGCGUAAAGCGCGUGUAGGCGGUCCGGUAAGUCCGCUGUGAAAGUCGAGGGCUCAACCCUCGAAUGCCGGUGGAUACUGUCGGGCUUGAGUACGGGAGGGGCGAGUGGAAUUCCUGGUGUAGCGGUGAAAUGCGCAGAUAUCAGGGGGAACACCGAUUGCGAAGGCAGCUCGCUGGAACGUUACUGACGCUGAGACGCGAAAGCGUGGGGAGCAAACAGG